UACAGAGGGGGGCAAGCGUUGUUCGGAAUUACUGGGCGUAAAGGGCGCGUAGGCGGCCUGUUAAGUCGAACGUGAAAUCCCCGGGCUCAACCCGGGAACUGCGUCCGAUACUGGCAGGCUUGAAUUCGGGAGAGGGAUGCGGAAUUCCAGGUGUAGCGGUGAAAUGCGUAGAUAUCUGGAGGAACACCGGUGGCGAAGGCGGCAUCCUGGACCGAGAUUGACGCUGAGGCGCGAAAGCCAGGGGGAGCAAACGGG
rnacentral:rRNA from 1 species